rnacentral:rRNA from 1 species
GACGAACGCUGGCGGCGUGCUUAACACAUGCAAGUCGAACGGAAAGGCCCUGCUUUUGUGGGGUGCUCGAGUGGCGAACGGGUGAGUAACACGUGAGUAACCUGCCCUUGACUUUGGGAUAACUUCAGGAAACUGGGGCUAAUACCGGAUAGGAGCUCCUGCUGCAUGGUGGGGGUUGGAAAGUUUCGGCGGUUGGGGAUGGACUCGCGGCUUAUCAGCUUGUUGGUGGGGUAGUGGCUUACCAAGGCUUUGACGGGUAGCCGGCCUGAGAGGGUGACCGGGCAAAAUGGGGGAGGAGAGACGCCCAAGCCCCGAGCGGGGGGAAAGGGGGGGAAAUAGGGAAAAGGGGGGGGAGGCGGGAGGCAGCCGCCCGGGGGGCGGAAGGGCGGCUUCGGGGUUGAAAACCGCUUCCGCCGGUGAGGAGGGGGGGGGGAGGGAAGGGGAUAAAAAAGACCGGCCAAACUAGGGC